GGUCAACUGGUGUAGUGGUUAUCACGUCUGUCUUACAACUUCACUGUAUAGUGUAUUGUGAGGACACAGAAGGUCGCAGGUUCGAUCCCUGCGUUGAUCA
rnacentral:tRNA from 2 species